UACGGGGGGGGCAAGCGUUGUUCGGAAUUACUGGGCGUAAAGGGCUCGUAGGCGGCCAACUAAGUCAGACGUGAAAUCCCUCGGCUUAACCGGGGAACUGCAUCUGAUACUGGAUGGCUUGAGUUCGGGAGAGGGAUGCGGAAUUCCAGGUGUAGCGGUGAAAUGCGUAGAUAUCUGGAGGAACACCAAUAGCGAAGGCAGCUCGCUGGGACGGUACUGACGCUAAGGCGCGAAAGCGUGGGGAGCGAACAGG
rnacentral:rRNA from 1 species